UACGUAGGGGGCGAGCGUUGUCCGGAGUUACUGGGCGUAAAGCGCACGCAGGCGGUUCUGCGCGUUUGGGGUUACAGCUCCCGGCUCAACCGGGAGAGCGCCUCGAAGACGGCAGCACUUGAGGGCCAGAGAGGGACACGGAACUCCGGGUGGAGUGGUGAAAUGCGUAGAUAUCCGGAAGAACACCAAAGGCGAAGGCAGUGUCCUGGCUGGUACCUGACGCUCAGGUGCGAAAGCUAGGGGAGCGAACGGG
rnacentral:rRNA from 1 species